UUCCAACUCGCCACAGGCCCCCAACGCAGCUCCACGGACAUCAUCCUAUGGUGCCAAACAAUGUCGGAUAAACUGGGGCUGUUGGCAGCACUUUACAGGAAGACUCCCUAUGAAUUUGAGUCAUGCCGAUUCUCAUUUUUAAAGGACUUAAGUAGAGCCACACUUCUUUGGCGAAAAGAAAUGCAAUCAAUUACACAACCUCUUCAUACAGCAUGAAUCUCAUACAAAUGGGCGACUCCCAGAACCUUAUUUGUGACAAAAGAUGGUAAAUCCUAAAAGGCCACAGACCCUAAAGAUGGC